AUUGAACGCUGGCGGCGUGCCUAACACAUGCAAGUCGAGCGGUAACAGGUGUAGCAAUACAUGCUGACGAGCGGCGAACGGGUGAGUAAUGCUUCGGAAUCUACCCAAUGGUGGGGGAAUAACCAGCCGAAAGGUUGGCUAAUACCGCAUACGUCCCACGGGAGAAAGCAGGGGAUCGCAAGACCUUGCGCCAAUGGAUGAGCCGAAGUCGGAUUAGCUAGCNGGUAGGGUAACGGCCUACCAAGGCGACGAUCCGUAGCUGGUCUGAGAGGACGACCAGCCACACUGGGACUGAGACACGGCCCAGACUCCUACGGGAGGCAGCAGUGGGGAAUAUUGGACAAUGGGGGGAAACCCUGAUCCAGCGACGCCGCGUGUGUGAAGAAGGCCUGCGGGUU
rnacentral:rRNA from 1 species